rnacentral:rRNA from 1 species
UGGAUCCAGACUUUGAUCCUGGCUCAGGAUGAACGCUGGCGGCGUGCUUAACACAUGCAAGUCGAACGAAGCAUAUCUGAUGAGACUUUCGGGUGGAAUUGGAGAUGACUUAGUGGCGGACGGGUGAGUAACGCGUGGGCAACCUGCCCUGUACAGGGGGACAACAGUUGGAAACGACUGCUAAUACCGCAUAAGCGCACAGUACCGCAUGGUACAGUGCGAAAAACUCCGGUGGUACAGGAUGGGCCCGCGUUGGAUUAGGCAGUUGGUGGGGUAACGGCCUACCAAACCGACGAUCCAUAGCCGACCUGAGAGGGUGACCGGCCACAUUGGGACUGAGACACGGCCCAAACUCCUACGGGAGGCAGCAGUGGGGAAUAUUGCACAAUGGGGGAAACCCUGAUGCAGCGACGCCGCGUGAGCGAAGAAGUAUUUCGGUAUGUAAAGCUCUAUCAGCAGGGAAGAAAAUGACGGUACCUGACUAAGAAGCCCCGGCUGACUACGUGCCAGCAGCCGCGGUAAUACGUAGGGGGCAAGCGUUAUCCGGAUUUACUGGGUGUAAAGGGAGCGUAGACGGCAUGGCAAGUCUGAUGUGAAAGGCGGAGGCUCAACUUCUGGAUUGCAUUGGAAACUGUCAGGCUGGAGUGCCGGAGAGGUAAGCGGAAUUCCUAGUGUAGCGGUGAAAUGCGUAGAUAUUAGGAGGAACACCAGUGGCGAAGGCGGCUUACUGGACGGUAACUGACGUUGAGGCUCGAAAGCGUGGGGAGCAAACAGGAUUAGAUACCCUGGUAGUCCACGCGGUAAACGAUGAAUACUAGGUGUUGGUUGUCAUAGACAAUCGGUGCCGCAGCAAACGCAAUAAGUAUUCCACCUGGGGAGUACGUUCGCAAGAAUGCAACUCAAAUGAAUUGACGGA